rnacentral:rRNA from 1 species
GCAAGUCGAGCGAGACGGUUGAUAUUGAUCCUUCGGGUGAUUUAUUAACUAGACAGCGGCGGACGGGUGAGUAACGCGUGGGUAACCUGCCUUAUACUGGGGGAUAACGUUUUGAAAAGAACGCUAAUACCGCAUAAGCGCACAGUAUCGCAUGAUACAGUGUGAAAAACUCCGGUGGUAUAAGAUGGACCCGCGUCUGAUUAGCUAGUUGGUGAGAUAAAAGCUCACCAAGGCGACGAUCAGUAGCCGACCUGAGAGGGUGAUC